rnacentral:rRNA from 1 species
AAACCAGCACCUCAAGUGGUCAGGAUGAUUAUUGGGCCUAAAGCAUCCGUAGCCUGCUUCGUCAGUUUUCGGUUAAAUCCAUACGCUUAACGUAUGGGCUGCCGGAAAUACUGCAGAGCUAGGGAGUGGGAGAGGUAGACGGUACUCGGGAGGAAGGGGUAAAAUCCUUUGAUCUUUCGAUGACCACCUGUGGCGAAGGCGGUCCACCAGAACACGUCCGACGGUGAGGGAUGAAAGCUGGGGGAGCAAACCGGAUUAGAAACCCCGGUAGUCC